AUGAGUCUGCCGAGGUGCAGGAGGGAGAGAGGAUGUGCUGAUGCCCGGGACUCCUUGGUGCUGGAGGCAGAAGAUGUUUCCAAAUUUUCUGACCUGCAGGGCAGAAGACAGUUCUUGUGGAUAGUCAGAGGUGAACGAGCAAGUGACAGGAUGCAUUCAUACUCAUCAGACAUGACUGAAGUGUUUGCCUACCAUCCACCUGAACCAAGUGCAGACAGCACAGGGCCGGCAGAGCUCAUUUCAAGGAAGAGCUGGUUUUAAUCAACUCAGUAGGGGCCCACGGCCAUGCAGAGGUCCCGAAGCCCCGAGUUUUCACAGGAACACAACAAGCCUUAGAUAAAGAUAAGGUAAGGAGUCAAAGUUAGUGAAGGUAGGCUGGGGAGGGGCUACAGAUGGGGGCUGGGUCAGCAGCGCAGUGGUACUUUGUAUUCCCCACGGAAUGGUAAGGGGCAGGAAGAUAGAGAAAGAAGUGAGGUGGCCAUCUGAAUAUGUUUCUCUUUUUCUCUUUUUUUUUGCAGGAUUGCAGAUAAGAUUCAAGACCUUCACACUAACCUACAUGUCCUGCUUAUUAUUAUUAUUAUUAUUAUUUGCUUUGAGGUAGGGGCCUGCGAAGUUGCUCAGGCUGGGCUCCAACUUAAGAUACUCCUGCCUCAGUUUCCCAGAGUGUGGGGAUGACAGAGGUAUGCCACGGCUUCCAGCUCCUUCGUCUUCUGCCCGGGAGUAGGAAGACGCGUAAGACCCCCUUGAGGGUAAUGAGGUUUUGUUCUGAGAGCUGAGGAGGGUCCUGCCUUCCCCAGGGUAGAAGAACCAGGCUGCACAGAGCCGAGAUGGGAGACAGCCGGUCAGGGCAGGAAAAGGUGGUGCAGGACUCCCGAGUGUGCCUGGUUUCCCAGUAACGAGAACGCCAAGUGCUCAGCCAAGGAUGUGAUGCAGCCCCUGUGCCUCCCUUCCUCCAGCACCCAACCUUCCUGCACUGCACACGCACAGCUGUCCUAAUGAGUGAAGCAGGGAGAGGGGAAGGCUUUUGAAAGACAGAGCAAUUUUAUUCGGGGGAGACUGAGUAUUCCCUAAAGCGGCUGUUUAAAUUAUCGGAUCAAACUAAAUUUAAACCGGGUUAGACGUUUAGUUAAUUUAUUUUUCUCUAACCAGCAGGUGGAAGUUUGGAGGAAGACAAGAUUAUAGA
rnacentral:lncRNA from 1 species